rnacentral:rRNA from 1 species
UACGUAGGGUCCGAGCGUUGUCCGGAAUUAUUGGGCGUAAAGGGCUCGUAGGCGGUUUGUCACGUCGGGCGUGAAAACUUAGGGCUCAACCCUGAGCGUGCUGUCGAUACGGGCAGACUAGAGGUAUGCAGGGGAGAACGGAAUUCCUGGUGUAGCGGUGGAAUGCGCAGAUAUCAGGAGGAACACCGGUGGCGAAGGCGAGUCCCUGGGCAACAACUGACACUGAGGCACGAAAGCUAGGGGAGCAAACAGG